GGGCACAAGAAGCUGGGAGGGAGCAGAGACAGGACACCUGACCCAAAUGGCCAAAGGGGUAUUCCAUACCAUAGCACACCAUGCCCACUAUACAAACUGGGGGAAGUUACCAGAAGG